rnacentral:rRNA from 1 species
CCUACGGGUGGCAGCAGUCGAGAAUCAUUCACAAUGGGGGAAACCCUGAUGGUGCGACGCCGCGUGGGGGAAUGAAGGUCUUCGGAUUGUAAACCACUGUCAUGUGGGAGCAAAUUAAAAAGAUAGUACCACAAGAGGAAGAGACGGCUAACUCUGUGCCAGCAGCCGCGGUAAUACAGAGGUCUCAAGCGUUGUUCGGAAUCACUGGGCGUAAGGCGUGCGUAGGCUGUUUCGUAAGUCGUGUGUGAAAGGCGCGGGCUCAACCCGCGGACGGCACAUGAUACUGCGAGACUAGAGUAAUGGAGGGGGAACCGGAAUUCUCGGUGUAGCAGUGAAAUGCGUAGAUAUCGAGAGGAACACUCGUGGCGAAGGCGGGUUCCUGGACAUUAACUGACGCUGAGGCACGAAGGCCAGGGGAGCGAAAGGGAUUAGAUACCCGAGUAGUC